GGACAUUUUCCCUGCUUAGGCAGCCACAGCACAGAGAUAGAAUUAGUCACAAGAUUAGUCCAGCUUAAAUAAGCAGAAGUCAAGUUAGUGCUUCACAGAUUGGUCUUUUAGCAGAUGCUCUGCCCUUUCGAGGAAUGCAAGGGGCAAAUGUGAGCUCUUAAGGAUAUUUUACAUUUACGCAAUGAAGUUACGCUGUUCAAAAAACUUUCUCAUCUUUCUGCCCUUGUGCAACCUAAUUUCUCUUACCAGAAACCUGAGGCUCCAAAGUUCUGGAGGCCGGAAGUCCAGGGUCAAGGUGACAGUGGAUUCGUUUCCUGGUGAGGACCCUCUUCCUGGUUUGUACAUGUGAUUCCUAGCAGUCUCCAUUUUGAAGUUCUCUUCUCCUUUGACCAAGCAUCCAGCACAUCCUCACAACACUCCAAAGCCACCUUGAAGACUCUCUUCAAAGCAGUUCUUACUGUUGAUACCACCACCAUUGUUCCGACACAUGAGGCAGGAGGACCCAAGGCCAGAGGUCAUGGUGGAGAGAUGAGCAGAUAGUCCUCAAAGGCAGACAGGGCUGGGGUUGGAGAGGAAUUCCCUAAUAGCUGUUAUAAAUGGAGAUAUGACAGGUGUGAACAAACAACCUAGGACUGGAAGAAAGAAGAGGGAGGAGUCGGGUAGAGAUAGUACUUGGAGUGGAUGCCCAGGCUGUGUAGUGACAUAAAGGGG
rnacentral:lncRNA from 1 species